rnacentral:rRNA from 1 species
GUAACGAGCGCAACCCUUGUCCUUAGUUACCAGCACGUUAUGUGGGCACUCUAAGGAGACUGCCGGUGGACAAACCGGAGGAAGGUGGGGAUGACGUCAAGUCAUCAUGGCCCUUACGGCCUGGGCUACACACGUGCUACAAUGGUCGGUACAAAGGGUUGCCAAGCCGCGAGGUGGAGCUAAUCCCAUAAAACCGAUCGUAGUCCGGAUCGCAGUCUGCAACUCGACUGCGUGAAGUCGGAAUCGCUAGUAACCGUGAAUCAGAAUGUCACGGUGAAUACGUUCCCGGGCCUU